rnacentral:rRNA from 1 species
GAUGAACGCUGGCGGCGUGCCUAAUACAUGCAAGUCGAGCGAACGGACGAGAAGCUUGCUUCUCUGAUGUUAGCGGCGGACGGGUGAGUAACACGUGGAUAACCUACCUAUAAGACUGGGAUAACUUCGGGAAACCGGAGCUAAUACCGGAUGAUAUUUUGAACCGCAUGGUUCAAAAGCGGAAGACGGUCUUGCUGUCACUUAUAGAUGGAUCCGCGCUGCAUUAGCUAGUUGGUAAGGUAACGGCUUACCAAGGCAACGAUGCAUAGCCGACCUGAGAGGGUGAUCGGCCACACUGGAACUGAGACACGGUCCAGACUCCUACGGGAGGCAGCAGUAGGGAAUCUUCCGCAAUGGUCGAAAGCCUGACGGAGCAACGCCGCGUGAGUGAUGAAGGUCUUCGGAUCGUAAAACUCUGUUAUUAGGGAAGAACAUAUGUGUAAGUAACUGUGCACAUCUUGACGGUACCUAAUCAGAAAGCCACGGCUAACUACGUG